CCUACGGGCGGCAGCAGUGGGGAAUAUUGCACAAUGGGGGAAACCCUGAUGCAGCGACGCCGCGUGAGUGAAGAAGUAUUUCGGUACGUAAAGCUCUAUCAGCAGGGAAGAAAAUGACGGUACCUGACUAAGAAGCCCCGGCUAACUACGUGCCAGCAGCCGCGGUAAUACGUAGGGGGCAAGCGUUAUCCGGAUUUACUGGGUGUAAAGGGAGCGUAGACGGCAGCGCAAGUCUGGAGUGAAAUCCCAUGGCUUAACCAUGGAACUGCUUUGGAAACUGUGCAGCUAGAGUGCAGGAGAGGUAAGCGGAAUUCCUAGUGUAGCGGUGAAAUGCGUAGAUAUUAGGAGGAACACCAGUGGCGAAGGCGGCUUACUGGACUGUAACUGACGUGGAGGCUCGAAAGCGUGGGGAGCAAACAGGAUUAGAGACCCGAGGAGUC
rnacentral:rRNA from 1 species